CCACCCCGGACCCCUGCCCGCGGCGCAGGCGUCCUGUAGGGGGCGCUGUUAGCCCGCCCAGGAGGCCCUGCAGGCCCUCGCCGCCAUUUUCUCCUGCAGGCUGCUUUGCAAACCGUUGGCUUAAAGCCCAGGAGUGCUCCUUCCCGGCCCUGCAGAAAAUCAGCAGGCAGAAUGGAUUUUGCAUCUGUGAUUAUGUUUUAACCACAUGAGCAAUGAUUCUCCACAGGAGACAGCACUCCCUAAGUGGAGUUGGAGGAAUCUGUGGGGACACUUUGGGUUGUCACAGUGGCACUGAGUGAUGGCAGCCCGGGAUGCUGGAUGGCGAGCAAUGCCCUGGAGAGAACAAUCAAAACCUGUCCUGCAUUCCGUACACUUCUGGAGUGUUCCUCAGACACCAGGGUAGGUAAAGAGCAACUAUCAGGGCCUAGAACCUGACUCACUUUCACUUGUAAACAGCAAGUAUAUUUUGCACAAAUUUUAAUAUAAACUAUAUUUUCCAGGGUAAAUUGAGAAAAUUUGUUUGAAAAUUAACAUUCUAAAAUGUGUACCAUUUGAGAAAUUUACAUCGC
rnacentral:lncRNA from 1 species